rnacentral:tRNA from 1 species
GGGGAUUUGGCUCAGCGGUAGAGCACUUGCCUAGCAAGCGCAAGGCCCUGGGUUCAGUCCCCA